rnacentral:pre_miRNA from 1 species
AGGGGGCCGUGCCACUGUUCUGGGAGUGUGGCCAGAUCUCUCACAGUGAACCGGUCUCUUUG